GGUCAAGUUAUUAAGGGUGCAGGGCGGAUGCCUUGGCACUAGGAGCCGAUGAAGGACGUGAUAAGCUGCGAUAAGCUUCGGGGAGUUGCACGUAAACUUUGAUCCGAAGAUUUCCGAAUGAGGAAACUCACUUAGAGUAAUGUCUAAGUAUCAUUAAGUGAAUACAUAGCUUAAUGAGGGGAACUCAGGGAACUGAAACAUCUAAGUACCUGAAGGAAGAGAAAGAAAUUCGAUUCCGUAAGUAGCGGCGAGCGAACGCGGAUUAGCCCAAACCAAUAAAGUUUUCUUUAUUGGGGUUGCGGACAUAUCAUAACGAAGAGGUAUCGUAAUUGAAGAGGUUUGGAAAGACCCACCACAGAAGGUAAUAGUCCUGUAUGUUAAACGAGAAGACUUUAGAUAUGAUCCAGAGUACCACGGGACACGUGAAACCCUGUGGGAAGCAGGAGGGACCACCCUCCAAGGCUAAAUACUACCUAGUGACCGAUAGCGUAUAGUACCGUGAGGGAAAGGUGAAAAGAACCCCGGGAGGGGAGUGAAAUAGAACCUGAAACCCUGCACUUACAAGCUGUGGAAGCACAUUUCUUGUGUGACCGCGUACUUUUUGUAGAACGGGCCAACGAGUUACGUUAAGUAGCAAGGUUAAGCACUUAAGGUGCGGAGCCGUAGCGAAAGCGAGUUUUAACUGAGCGUUCAGUUACUUGACGUAGACCCGAAACCGGGCGACCUACCCAUGAGCAGGAUGAAGCGAAAGUAAAAUUUCGUGGAGGUCCGAACCCACGAGCGUUGAAAAGCUCGGGGAUGACUUGUGGGUAGCGGUGAAAUUCCAAUCGAGCCCGGAGAUAGCUGGUUCUCCCCGAAAUAGCUUUAGGGCUAGCCUCAAGGUGAGAGAUACGGAGGUAGAGCACUGAAUGUCCUAGGGGGUAUUGCACCUACCGAAGACUAUCAAACUCCGAAUGCCGUCAUCUUAUACUUGGGAGUCAGACUGUGGGUGAUAAGAUUCAUAGUCGAAAGGGCAACAGCCCAGAUCGUCAGCUAAGGUCCCUAAAUGUAAGUUAAGUGGUAAAGGAUGUGGGAUUGCACAGACAACCAGGAUGUUGGCUUAGAAGCAGCCACUCAUUCAAAGAGUGCGUAAUAGCUCACUGGUCGAGUGAUCCUGCGCCGAAGAUUUCCGGGGCUAAAACUUACUACCGAAGCUACGGCAUCAGUAAUGAUGGGUAGGGGAGCUUCCCAUACGGGUUGAAGCAUGACCGUAAGGACAUGUGGACAGUAUGGGAGUGAGAAUGUUGGCAU
rnacentral:rRNA from 1 species